GGGCGUAUAGCUCAGCUGGUAGAGCAUCUGCCUUACAAGCAGGCGGUCAUAGGUUCGAGUCCUAUUGCGCCCACCA
rnacentral:tRNA from 1 species